UACGUAGGGUGCAAGCGUUGUCCGGAAUUAUUGGGCGUAAAGCGCGUGUAGGCGGCUUUGCAAGUCGGGUGUGAAAGCCCUCAGCUCAACUGAGGAAGUGCGCCCGAAACUGCAGAGCUUGAGUGCCGGAGAGGGUGGCGGAAUUCCCCAAGUAGAGGUGAAAUUCGUAGAUAUGGGGAGGAACACCGGUGGCGAAGGCGGCCACCUGGACGGCAACUGACGCUGAGACGCGAAAGCGUGGGGAGCAAACAGG
rnacentral:rRNA from 1 species